GGCCGCCUCUUUUGCUCUAGACGAGUCCUUUAUGUCUGCGCCCUGGCUGCGCUUGCGCCGCCAGCGCCAUCUUUUGCCUCCUCCUCUCCUCCCUCCCUUUUUCUAAGGAGGAGACUCUGGAACAGAGAAGCCAGGAGGAGAAGAAGGAGAGAGAGAGAAGCGGCUGAGGCUGAGAAAAAGCCAGGGAGUAGUGGCAGCAAGAGCAGCAAAGGGACGAGGGCGCAACACUUCCAGCCUCUCUUGGUGAAGCUUCCUGCUGACUGGCUCCGUCCCGCUCCAAGGGGGAGGUGGUGACUGGGCGGGCAGGCAGGCAGAGGAAGAGAGCGCCCGGCUGCGCCAGCCUGUCCCCUCGUGUCUCUCCACCCACCCCAGAAUGCCCCACACCUCUUGCUUCUGCUGCUCUUGAUGGGGACGCGUCUGGCGCCCGCCGGCUCCAGCGGACUGUACGUAUACGUGUCGUCGCCUUGGCGGUGGCGGCUUUGCCCCUUCGAGGAUCCCGCUUCCGUAGAGACGGCUAGUGCUACUCCCCUUUCCCCCUUCUGGGAAGAUUGUCGGCUCCCUCUUAUCGGGGAGAUUUGGAAGAGGGGAGAGCAGGUAGGGGCUGUCGGAAGCUUUCUGGUUUAGUCGGGGGCGGCGGCGGCGGCAGCAGCAGCAGCGAGGAUUAUUCGUUCCCUCCCUCCGCAUUGCAAGCGGGGAGGGAGUUCGGCUGGGAGAAGAAGAAAGUGAAUGGCCAGGGCUUGAGUGUCACAUUCCCGGGAGGGGAGGGAGGGAGGAGGGUGCUGGGGGGACUGCCGGCUGGAUCGCCCUCGAAGCGUUCGUGUGCGUGUCUGUCUCCUCCUUUCCCCUCCUCCGCCCGGGUCGGCCGGCUGCCCCAGCCAGCUAGCUAGCUGCGAGGUGCGCCUGUCUCUGCCUGGUCUCUUCCUCUUCUCCUCCAUUCUGGCGGAAUUGCGCUCCUUAAAAUAGCCCUUAUUCAAUGCACCAGCCUGACUCAGCUGCAGACAGUAGUGCGAGGAAGAUGGCGCACCCGGCGAUGCUUCCUAGAAGGGGCAGCGGCAGCAACGUCGUGCCGGCUCUGGCUACAGCGACCACCAGCAGCGUUGGAGGUGGUGGCGGCGGCUCGGAAGAUUAUCCUCCUCCCUUGCUCAUCCAGCCACCGCCUCCUCCUGCCGCAGCAUCUUCCUCUUCGCCCGGGCCUCAGCCGCCGCCCCCUCCUCCGCAGAGCCUGACCCUUCUCUCCCAGCCGCCGCCGCCGCAACCCCUCGGCCAGGCAGGAGCCCAGAUGAAGAAGAAGAGCGGCUUCCAGAUUACCAGCGUGACCCCUGCCCAGAUCUCCGCCAGCCUCAGCUCCAACAACAGCAUCGCUGAGGACACGGAAAGCUACGACGAUCUGGACGAGUCCCACACCGAGGACCUGUCGUCUUCCGAGAUCUUGGACGUUUCCUUAUCCAGGGCUACCGAGCCUGAGCGGAGCUCCUCGGAAGAGACUCUGAACAACUUCCAGGAGGCCGAGACUCCGGGGGCUGUGUCGCCCAACCAGCCUCGUCUUCCCCAGCAGCAGCAGCACCCCCCUUUGCCCCAUCCCCCCCAUCAGCAAAGUGUGGUGAUCAACGGGAGUGUUCAUCCUCCUCAUGGGCACCAUUACCGGCAUCACCAUGCAUCCCAUUCUGGGGUGGGUGGCAUGGCUGCUCCUGGAGGACCUCCACCCAGCCCAUCAUUUAGGAAACUGUCUACCACUGGAAGCUCUGACGGCGUCAUGACAGCAGGUGUCCCGGUUUCUGCUGCAUCAUCCACUGGUACGCCUGUGGCCACGAUUGUGCCUCACUUCCGCACCACCGGUACACCUGGGUUUCCUUCUGCCAGUGGGGCAUUGCCCACAUUAAGCAACGUGGGUAGUAGUAGCCCCGGUGUGGCGAGCGGCAUGCCCGGCCAUGUUAAUAUCAGUCUAAGUAACAUCCCAAGUACUGGUAACAUAAAUGCUUUGUCAGGAACUAGUGGCAGUGUUAAUGUUGCUGUCCUGAGUGGGGUUGGCAACGGCACGAGUGCUUCCUCUAGUGUUGUCAACAAUGGUAGUAAUCCAGUUGCAGGAGCCGUGGCACCAAGUCAGUUGCAGCCUGCAGCCAGCACAUCCAGGUUUAGAGUGGUUAAGCUGGAUUCUAGUUCAGAACCUUUUAAAAAAGGUAGAUGGACGUGCACAGAGUUCUAUGACAAAGAGAACCCUGUGCCAGUUACAGAAGGAGUAGCCGUAAAUAAAACAGUAGACACUCUAAAACAAAACCCCCUUGAAGUGACUUCUGAAAGGGAGAGCACCAGUGGGAGUUCGGUGAGCAGCAAUGUAAGCACACUGAGUCACUAUACGGAAAGUGUGGGAAGUGGGGAGAUGGGAGCACCUACGGUGGUGCCGCAGCAAGCAAUUCAAGGAGUCGGGUCUCAGCAGAUGGAUUUUAGCAGUACUGGCCCUCAACUUUUACCAGCACCUAGUAUACCCCAGAGUAUUUCUCAGUCACAGCUUGUGCAAGUACAGCUUCAUCCUCAAGAUGGAAAUUACCCUCCGCAAAAGCCAGGGGUCCAGCCUCCUGCUUCAACCAGUCUAACCACAGCGCCUGCUCCAGUUAACAUAAUGGGUGGCCAUCAACAACCUGCCAUGCCAUGUAUGGCUCAGCAGCAGCUGCCAUAUGGUCAACCAACACAACCUGUGCAGACUGUUCCAGUUGUGCCACAACCACAGCAAUUACCUUAUGGGCAAGGACAGGCACAGCACCCACCACCACAGCAGAUUCCUAUGCAGAUGGCCUCAGGACACGUUAAGCCAGUCAAUCAAACGUCUGUCUCGGGGCCUGUGCCAGAUUACAUACAACAGCAGCAGAUGCUUCAGACUUCAGCUCCUAUGCAGUCUGUUCCUACAGUGGUAGGGACAGCUCCACCUGUGCCUGUUGCUCAGGCACCAAGUAUGCAGCCUUCUGUACAAGCACACCUGGCAGUGGCAUCCUCUCAGCCUGUGGCACAUGCCCAAACCACAAUGCCCACUGUAGGAGCUGGUGCUCAAAUGAUGAAUGUUGGACAACAAGGAAAUGUACCUCCUGUGGUGCAGCAGCAGCAACCUGUUGUAAACCAAGUUGCCCCUUCAGUGAUGCCGCAAAGUGCUGCUGCUGCUCCACUUCCCCAGGUGGUGCCAUCCAUUUCAACAGGGAUUAUUCAGCCGGGGCCACAAAGCAACACAUCAAGCCUUCCUCAACCCUUGGCUAUUGCUCCACAGAGUACUUUAUUACCAGUGCAAGCUGUGGAAUCUCUUGUUCAAGGAAUGGCUGGUCAACAAUUGCCUGCAGUUAGCCCCGCACCUUCUCUGAGUGCUGUUCCUGUUCCAUGCCAUUCUGCUGCAAACGUGCCCCCUGCUCCUGUGAGCUUGGGUCCCUCAAAGAACAUAGCACAAGCUUCAGGUGUGCAAAAUGGGAACUUAGUCCAAAAUGUCUCUCAGCCUCCCGUGAUAUCCACUAGCAUCAGUUUGCCUGUAGCUCAAAGUGUGCCACAACAGAUACCACUGAACUCCACCCAGUUCUCUGCACAAUCUCUUGCUCAGUCAAACCGAAGUGAAGAUUCCAGACGCCCGACAGAACCUACUUUGGUUGGUUUACCCCAACCUACCAAUGGUGAAGGUGGUGUUGGAGCAUCCUCGAGCAUUUCAGAUGGGGGCAGCAGCAUGGCAUCUCUCUUCCCCCUGAAGGUACUGCCGCUGACAGCGCAGCUCGUUGAUGGUGAGGAUGAGAGUUAUUUCUUCUAAUUUGCUAAACUCUCUUAAACUCUGACUGGAGAAAUGAAUGGAGAAAUGACUUCAGAGGCAACAGACAACAAUUUCCCCUGUCCUUAGAGACUGCCAUGAAGGAUGCAUUCCAUAACUUAAAUGCAAAGCGGAGCACAACCCUCCAUCCUUACAGGGAGGAAUUCUGAAGGGCUCACAAUAAACCUUAGCACCUGUAUAAUGAAGGGGCAUCUUAAAGAUGGAGCAAAUAAUCUGACUGAAGUGGAAACUGACACAUGGAAAUCGUGACCCCUUAUAGGCCAAGCAGGCCUUGUCUGGCUCUCUUUGCCUUUGUGCUUUUGUGUUUAUUUUUGGAAACUUGGUGGUCUAGUUGUGUUAGGCAGCUCUCCCUCCAGACCCCAAGAGAAUGCGACUGAGAGUCUUAUUGGCUAUUCUCCCAUAAUUUCCUCAGCCUUGUAGCCUUUUUAGGUGGAAGGACCUAAAUGAGUGGUUGCUAUGACCCUUCUUCUAGGUAACUUGAUAAUGGUAGGAAAGGCAUUGGCCUCAGAGUCCAUUUCUAGGGGCCUCAGGCAGACUUGGAGUGUCAGCCUCAUAGUGGUGAUAAGUUGCACAUGUGGCCUGGGGGGAGCAUAUGUGUGUCCUUCGGGUCAGUUGCCUUAGUUUCCUCAGAACUGGCCUACAGUUGAGAAGCAACCAAAGGGAAAAGUCUUGCAGCACUUUCAAGUCUAAUAUUUAUUGUGGCAUACGGUUUUUGUUGUUCGUUUUUUGUGAGCUAGAGAUGACUCUGAAAAAGCAGGCUUCUCCCAGGAAAACUCAUGCCAUAGCAAAACUGUUUUUCUUGAAGAUGCCACAAGACACUUGGUUCUGUUUACAGCCUAGCAUGGUUACCCAUUUGAAAUUCAUCAAGGACAAUAAAACUUUGUACAGACAUGAUAUGUGGGUGAACUGCUUCUUUCUGGCUUAUAUGACUCCAGUGAUAAACUGCCUGUUUCUUAAAUAAAUAUUUGGAGAGCUCAUAACUAUUCUCUGUAGCUGACCAGACUCUAAAGUCAAAAUCCAAGCAGGUAAGGAAAACUAGCGGUUGAUUUUCCAUGUUGGUAUUGUGGGACGGCAUACAUAAGGUUAUCUCCCUUUUAUCCUUCUAGCACCCUGUGGGGGUAGGUUAGGCUGAGAGAUGAGUGAUUUGCUCAAGGUCACCCAGUGGGUUUCAUGGCUGAGCAGAGUUUUGAGCCCAAAUCACCCCUGUGCAGUGUUCUGUCUGCUAAAGCAUCUGACUCUCAAGUUACUGAGAAUGUUGUGUGUGUCUAAUUCGUCUGGACUAGACACUUCUAUUAGCCCUCCUUAUGUCUCUGAAUUUCCCCCCUCCUACUUAAUCUUAUUUUUAAAAGUGAUCUAAAAUGAAUGCUAAUAU